rnacentral:lncRNA from 1 species
UUAGUAACAUUUCACCUAUUCUCAUAACAAUAGAUAGAGUGGCUAGAGAGAGAAAGUAGAAAGAUAGAGAGAAGAAUAGAAAAAAGAAGAGGAAGAACUUGGAAGAGAAGAAAGCUAAGGUAAGGAGCUAGAAGAAGAGAGUGAAGCCUAAACUAGGUAUUUUGAAGGUUUAAGGUAGAGGGAUAGUUCUAUUUCAUCAAAUAAGCUAUAAUCUUCUUUUUCAAUUAUGGGUCACAAUCACUUUUGAAUGAUUUAUGAUUUUGAUGAUUUUGAAUGUUGAUUUUCGUGCUCCUAGUUAAGUGAUGAUUUUGAGUAUGUGAAAUUUGUUGAAAACUUGUUAUGGGUGCUUAAAUUUCAUUGCUUAAUUAUGUUGAAGUGAUUAUUUGAAGUUUUUAACUUAUGUUGAAAAUGAUGAUGUUGUUGUUACUUGAUGUUGAAUUCAUGAUGAAUAUGUGAUAAUUGUUGUUAGGUUUAUGUUGUUGAUGAGAAUUUAUGAAAUUGAAGAUGAUAAAUGUGAAGUUUGAAUAAGUUGUGGUGUUUUUAUGAUUUUUGAGAAAAUGGGUAAAGAAUGAAGAAGUUUGAUUUUGAUGAAUUUGAGUAGAUAAGAGGGUUGUUAUGAUGAAUUAGAAUGAUUAGAAUUUCUAUUUUCAAUCAAUGUGUUUUGGUGAGGAAUCGUUUGGGAGAAAAUCAGGUUUUUGUGUCAAAAUCUGUUUUAAGCACUUUUGUGAAAUAAGUCAUUUUGGAGUAAGUUGAAUCAAGUUGUUUUGGGUUGUAAGAUAUGUUUUUUAGUGUGUAUUAAUGGUCUAAGUGUUUGGAGAAUAUUUGGUGAAAACGGGAUCGAAAACGUUUUGAAAAUAGACUUUUACGCGCGAAAACGCGCGGAGAAAAAUCAGAUAUUCCCACAUAUCAAACUGGCACGACCGUGCGUGUUUUCUCUUGAAUGGGUGGCAAGACCGUGUGCCCUGUUGACACGACCAUGCCAACCCCCUGUGCGUGGAAACUCUGAUUUUUCGUUUUUUAAGGGUAUUUUAAGUAUACCAAUGGAUCUGAAACACCUUAGAUGAAGUGUAACUGGACUUCUAAGAGUGGUUUAACAUAGGUUUAUAUUAGGAUUGAAUUGGUUUUGAAAAAUGAAGAAAGAGGAGACGAAAUUUGCAAUUUUUGAGAACUAGUCGAACUUUGCAAAUUGAAUAUGUCAUGAUUGUUUAACUAAGAUGUUAGGUGAUAUGUUGGAAUGUUUUGAUGAGGAGUAAUAGCAUGAUUCCAUACUUUUGUUAUAAAAUUUAAAAUAGACGAUUUUUAUGAUUCCAUAACUUGUGAGUGGAUUGUAUUCAUGAUAAUAUGAUGAAAUAAGAAUGAAUCGAUGUUUAAUUGGUGUAUAGUGUGUUGGUGAUCAUGAUUGCUGAAUUGUUGUCUGUUUGUGGAUUGUGUUAUGUUAAACGAUGAAUGUUUCUUUGUGGUGAUAUAUCUUGAUGGUUUUGGUGAUGACUCUUUUGUUGAUUAUGACUUGUUGAUUGUGUGGAUGUAAAUACUUGAUAAUGCAAGUGGUGGUAAAUUGGUGAAUAUAUUAUAUGAUGAUAGUAAGACCCCACACGUAAGGAUCAUUGUGUGACCAACAAGUUCAGCUUGACAAAUUGAUUAGGUUAACACGUCCCAUGAACUCAUCACUUAAAUAGCCCUUAAGUGAAUUAACUCGAAUAAGACUUGACUGUUACAUAAAUCCAACAAAUGAAUAGAGGGGAUUCAAAGAAUCCUAACCACUGCUAUCAUUCUACAACCAAAACAGGUAACUUUGCUCUGUUGCAAACAGAUUAACUUUCCAAAACUUUAAACCCUUAUCUUUUAUUUUAUAAUUUUGUUCUCAAAUAAGUAACGUGAAUUGUUUAGACGAAACAACAAUCCAUGUGGAUACGAUACUAUACUUAUCAUUUUAUUACUUGGUAAUCGAUUUAGUAGACUUGCCUAAUCCAACCAUCAGAUUGUUAGGUUGAGAUCUUCUUUGUAGAGGGAUUGAGCUCUCAUCGUCCAUCGUAGGCCGCCUUGAGUCCUUCGCCACUGAAGUGGGUGGUGUAUCUGCAGGUGCUCCGACGCCCAAGUCAGUAAGAGGUUCAAGAGAUAGAGUGUGGCUUAAAAUAGGGUAAGAAGGGUGAUACCCGACUCAAUGCUAAGCAAGGGUAUAUAUAGUGGAUAAGUAGGGUUUUGGCUAUUAAGCCUUCACCUGGGCAGUUAUCCUUGAGGGACAGGUGUGACCAUCUGGGUGAUCCUUUUGCAUUAGAUUCAUAAUGGACGGUCAGGAUUUGGUGGUCCAGACUCCAGACCAUUAUAAAGUGAGAUUGAAUAUGUGUCCAUGUAUGGUGUCGCCUGCUCCCAAAUCCUAUAUCGAACUCGAGUCCAAACUAGAUAGGCCUUAGCCCAGUCUGGAAUAAUUUUAUUGUUAUUUUAUAUCAAUGUAGUUGCAUUUCAUUUCACCCAUUUAUUCAAUUUUAUUUACUUAGAUGACUAGAAUAACAGUUAUAUUCAUAUUCCUAUAUUUUUUAAAUUAUUUACUUUAUUGGCCAAAAAAUAAUAAUAAUUUAUUCUAAAUUUUAUUUGAAAAUGGAAUCACAUUUUUUUUUAAUUUAACUUUUUGUUUUUAUAAAAUGCGUUGUGGCUAAAAAUUCACCACUUAAGAUGAAUAAAUGGGGAAUCUAGAUUUAAAUCGCGACUCAUGCAUACUACAAUGUGUCUGUCAACUAAGCUUGAGUUUUGGACCUUUCAACUCCUUAAUCUUUAACCCAAAAUAGUUAAGUUAUCCUUCCACUCAGCUUUGUCAACUAAGUUAUUCUCACCGGAACAAUUUAAUGUUUUAAAAGUAAAGAUCCAGCAAUUUACUUAAAACUUAAUGUUUUAAGAGUAAAAAUCUACCCGUCCUUUUUUCUUUUUUUACAGAAAAUCUACCGAUUUACUUGAUGUUAUAAAAAUAUUUCUACGGUAUUGAUCAUAAAUAAGUUUCAUAAAUAAAAGAUUGACUAUUACUUUUUCCACCCUAUGCCUUUCCUUGCGCGCCUUAUUUUCUUCCAAUUUUACCCCUAGUCCGGAAUUCGUUUUCUGGACUGAAUUUUUAGAAUUUUGCAGAUGUUUCCGGAUUUGAAAAUCCGGAAUAAUGUUUUACCAGAAGUUUUGCAAUUUUAAUCUUCAAAAUUCGUAAAAUAAAAUGCAAAUAAAAUAAAAAAAACAUAAAUAAAAAGACAUAAACAUAAAAACAAAUCAUUUUAUUAAUAUAUGAACAACAGAUUACAUUAAUUUUCAAGCUUUUUAAGCUUAUUACAUGAGAUCCUAAAUCUAUUUCUACUCUUAACUUAUUACAUAAGCAAUACCGGUGGCUCCAGCCACUGGUGGAGAGGAAAGAGGGGGGGGAGGAAAGAAGAUGGCGGGGAAGAAGAAAUCAAUGCUGCCUGAUAGGACAUACUAGUAGCUUUGAUGUUGGUGGGAAGACAUAGGGGGCACAGGGGCCUCUAGGGAACAAGAGACCAUGAUGGUCAACAUGACACCCAGGCAAACCAACCUCACACCCAGACUGACCCCUUCCUUAUUGACCGAUCAUAUGACCCAUGAUGGAUUUUCAAAGAGGCCUCUUUCUAUGAAAGGACAACGAUGAAAACACAUCGUUGUAGACGAAAAGAGGAGAAAGAAGAAAGUGUGCAAAUGUUUGAGGAAAUGAACCAUAUUUAUAGGGGAGGGAGAUUAAAAAAAACGUGGAGAAGCCAUCAAUGUCGGUCAAAAAACGUGUAGAAACACGUUUUUCAACUUGACCACCGCCCAAAACGUUUGAAAAACGUUUUCUUUGUGGUGCAGAACACCGGCCAAAAGCUUCUGGUGUACUCUGGAAUGUAUAAUCCGGAAUACACAUAUAUUCCGGAAUAUAUAUUACCGAAACAUACGAUGCUGGGGUGAACAAAGGGAAACUUGAGACUUUGAGUAUGGUGAGGGUUGGUUCGGAUUUUAGAAUCCGGAUUUAUUCAGCAUUGGAUUCUUUUGUGUGUCCCACAUUGCACCGACAAUUUUUUGUGGUCCACAACGCCCACAUACCUCUAUAAAUAGGGGUCCCUGUUUUCAUUACAAGUAAACUACAUCAGACAAAAAAACAUGGAAUUCCCUGGCUUUGAUCCGAACACCAAGCUAGCGGCAGUCUACUACAACGGUGGAACACCACCCCAUCUGUUUAGGAUUCGAGACGAUGUCACCCUCUCCGAGCUGAAGGAUGAGCUGGAUCAAAUCAACCGUCAACUCAACCACAAAGACACGAGGAGGGUGGUCGGAGUUGAAUAUCGAUGUCCAUUGUCCGACUCAGCCGGAUGAAACUCAAGAACGACGACAACGUGCGAACUAUGUUGUCUGUCUUUGGUCAGCACAGUACAAGAGGACCGAUCGAGUUGGACGCUUCGUUGGUUAGAUCUGCUGAACAAAUUCUGAAAAGUUUACAUCGGACUAGGAACUACGAAGAGAUUCAGGCUCUGCUGAAGGGACCAGAGGAGGACGAAGUUAAUUUAGAUGAUCCCUGAUAAUGUGCUAUGUUUUAAUUAAUCACGUGUAUUAUGUUGUUUUAAUUGCGUGUUAAUUAUGUGUUGUUGAAUUAAGUUGUUGCAUUAUGUUUUGAAUAAUAUAUAUAUAUAUAUAUAUAUAUAUAUAUAUAUAUUAUUUAAACUUUCAUUAUGUUUUAAAUUACGUCAAAUAUGUUCAUUUAUUCGAUAAAAUAACCAAAGAUAUGCUUUUCGGAUUACGAAAUUCGGAUUUUCCUAGGGCGUAUGUGUGUUCCGGAAAACGAAAUACGGAAUACCUCAGCAUAGGAUUCUUUUGUAUGGACCACAUUGCACCAAGAGUUUAUGUGGUCCGCAACAUUCAAGGACAUCUAUAAAUACAUACUCUCCGGUUUUCAGCUUCAACACCAUCAAAGCACACAAACAUAACAAAGAAAAACCAUGCAAAUUUUUGUCAUUAAGCUGAGGAUCUUCCUGACGUUGUCGCAAAUAAAUGAGUUAGCUCUCUAUUUGACAGCGUGAUGAAGAUCUUCUGCAUGGUGUCAAAAUAUACAAACAAGUACACCAAAGAGACCAUGCAAGUUUUUGUCAUUGUGCUGAGGAUCUUUCUCAUACUGUUUUAAAUAUAUAGGUCUCUAUAUAACAGCAUGAUGAAGAUCAUCAGCAUGCUGUCAAAAAUAUAUAUAUACUCCUUGAUACAUAGAUAACUCAAAAAUAUCAAGAGGUUGCUAUGAGUUAGAUCUUGCUGCCUACCAGAUGAAUAUGUCAUUUGGCAAGGCAGCAGGAUCUAACUCACAGAAAUCUUCUUGAAAACAUUUUCCCAAAAGAUUCAUCAUUUAUGUUAUUAUGGUUUUUUUUAACUAUUUAUUUGUCUUAUGUUGCUUCAAUUUAUGUUAUGUAUCUUUGUUCUAUUUUUUUCCGAGGCAAAUGCAACGAAAACGAUCCAAACAAAAGGGUCUGAUACAGUUCGGACUUUAAAUUCCGGAAUAGCUUCAUGCAUUCCCGAUUAUAAAAUUCGGAAACCCUCAGUAACAUUUUGGCCGGUGACGUUUCACCAAAGGUUAUGUCGGUUAGUGGAGUUUUAAUACGUUUUUUGGACGAUUUUGAAUGAAAAACACGUUUUCCUUGACUUCCAAAUUACCUAUGACUUGCUUUAGGCUAUAAAAAGGUUUGGAUCUUCAACAUUUUCCUUCAUUCUUCUUCACCUUCCUUUCUUACAUUUUCUUCAAAAAAAUUUAGUUUUUUAGGUAGAUUUUAGGAGUGUUAGUGGUGUCAUGGUCAUUGUUGACCGCUCAUACGACCCCUGCAAUUGCAUUGCAGCUUAUGCGGGGGUCGUAUAACGGUCAACAAAGACCCUUGACAUCAAAAAAAGACACAAAAUAUUCAUAUCGUAUUUGUCCGGAUUAUAUAUUCCGGAAACACUAACAAUCUGGUCCGGAUUACGUAAUCUGGACCAGUGGUAUUUAUGGAAUUUUUGCAGGGAAGACAACGGGAUGGGAAAAGUAAGACAACAGGAUGAGAAAAGUAAUAGUCUAAAAGAUUAGUAUGAAGAUGAUCCAUUAUUUCGCAAAAAGGACAAAAGUACGCGCUUGCUUAAUGCUCCGUUUAUUUGACUAUUUCCCAGUGUCUUUGGAAAUCAUUUCCAAAUUGCUUGGAUUCCAACUUGAUGAAGUAUAUAAUUAUUUUUAUUUAAAUUUUCUACUUAUAUAUAUACACACACUUCUUCAGUGGUUGAGACAGUCAGACAACUAGCUUACAUGUAUUAGCCAGCAAGAUUCCUUAAAAAAAAUGUAUUAGCUAGCAAGAUCUCUUGAUGUUGGUCAACAAAUUCAAUGAUGUAGACUUGUAAAUUCGUGAUAUAUUAUUUCUAGUUCAAAAUUAAAUAAUAAUCCAAUACUAAGUUUUAUUUUUUAAAGAUCAAGACCAACCGUUCUUUAAAUAAAAUUUAGUUAAGCUUUGUGUUAUUUAAACAAACUAUUGUGUGAAAAAAUAUAAUUAAAUAAUAACACAACUUUGUUGUUCCUUAAAAAAUAAUAUCGUUACUGCUUUUUGUAAAAUAACUUUGUGCGUUAGACAAUUGGCAAUGGAGUGUAUCACUACUUGACGGUUUUGGAAAAUAUUACAACUCUAAAAUCUUUGACAUCAUUUGACACAAGACAAUUCCUUUAAAAGUCAAUCUCUUUGUUGACGUCUUUUUCGAAAUCACAUUGUUAUAGCUGAUAAUUUUUUGUGGCAAGGUCUACUUUAGGAUCAACAUCAAUUAUGCGCGGAUAGUUGUGGAUCAAACAGGGACAAUAAUCAUUUGUUCUUGCACUAUAAUUUUUUUUCAGUUCUAUUUGGAUUUUGGUUUCAAUUUGCUAGGGUAUGUUAUGACAAAUCCAACCCUCAUCACAUAUCAAUUUGGUCAUCUUGGAGGUUCAUCAAAACAUUAUCAUUCAAUUAUGUAAAGAACGAAACAGUCAAAUUUUUAAGCAUAAGAAGUAUUAUCUGCAUCAAUUGUUUGACAAAAUUAAACCACCAAUAUUUUGAUAUGGUUGAAAGCGAAAUACAAUAUUUUCUCGGUUGAUUACCAUUCAUGGUGGCUAAUCCAAUAAUGUGCUUGGGAGCUAUAACAUAAUCUGAAAUUUGUAUUUUCUCUUCUUUAUACGUUCCAUUACCUUAACUUUGCAAUAUUUUGAUUUAGCAUUGUCUUCCUGACUCAACUUAUAUUAAGAAGUGUUUUUUUAUAAUACUACCUCCGUCCCUAAUUAUAAGACUCUUUUGAAAAAAUAAUUUGUCCCUUUUUAUAAGACCCCUUUGAUGUUUCCAAGUACAUUAAUUAUU